rnacentral:rRNA from 1 species
AGUGAACGCUGGCGGUAUGCCUAACACAUGCAAGUCGAACGGCAGCACAGUAAGAGCUUGCUCUUACGGGUGGCGAGUGGCGGACGGGUGAGGAAUACAUCGGAAUCUACUUUUUCGUGGGGGAUAACGUAGGGAAACUUACGCUAAUACCGCAUACGACCUACGUGUGAAAGCAGGGGAUCUUCGGACCUUUCGCGUUUGAAUGAGCCGAUGUCGGAUUAGGUAGUUGGCGGGGUAACGGCCCACCAAGGCAACGAUCCGUAGCUGAUCUGAGAGGGUGAGCGGGCACACUGGGACUGAGACACGGCCCAGACUCCGACGGGAGGCAGCAGUAGGGAAUCGUCCGCGAUGGACGAAAGUCUGACGGAGCAAUGCCGCGUGAGUGAAGAAGGUUUUCGGAUCGUAAAACUCUGUUGUAAGGGAAGAACAAGUACGGGAGGAACUGAACGUACCUUGACGGUACCUGACCAGAAAGCCACGGCUAACUACGUG